NNAGUGAGUUAUCUCAAUUGAUUGUUCACAGUCAGUUACAGAUCGAACUCCUUGUUCUACUCUUUCCCCCCUUCUCACUACUGCAC
rnacentral:sRNA from 1 species